GGGUGCGAUCAUACCAGUGUUAAUGCACUGGAUCCCAUCAGAACUCCGCAGUUAAGCACGCUUGGGCUAGAGUAGUACUAGGAUGGGUGACCUCCUGGGAAGUCCCAGUGUUGCACCCU
rnacentral:rRNA from 1 species